UCCCCUAUGGCGUAGUGGUAGUCGCGUCUCACUUGUACCUUCCGAGCAAGUUAUGAGAAGGUCCUUCGUUCGAUCCGGAGUGGGGGAA